GGCGGACCUGCCGGCGUAGUUGGUCCAGGAGUGGUUGCUCCUGGUGGUGUGGUUGGACCAGGAGUAUUUGCGCCCGCAGUCGUUCCUCUAGGCCUCGGAGGACCUGGUUACGUUGGGGCUGGUCUCGGAGGCAGUUACGGUGCCGCGCACGGAGUUGUCGCCGGUGGCCAUCAGGCCGGAUUCCAGAAGGGAGCCGCUGGCCACGCCCAGGGAUCUGGAGGGUACGCUGGAGGUGCCGCCCACAGGAACGUGCAGGCUUACAACAACCAGCAAGGCUACAGCCACAACUCGGGCUUCUCUGCCAGCGACACUAAGGCUUUUGGUGCUGGGCACCAGCAGGGAUCUACGGGAUACGUCGGUGGUGCUGCUGGCCAACAGGCUGGAUAUGGCAAGAGCCUCCACGGAGCCGUCGGUGGCUUCGGUGGAGUUGGCUACGGCUUCCACGGCUAAAGAGACGACGUUCGGACCCUUCUCGAUCUUGGCACCACUUCUGUUUUCCCUCACCAACACCGAUGGGCAUUCAACCGUUUUGUUGUGCAAUAAAUGUUGCAACACAAAA